rnacentral:rRNA from 1 species
AACGAACGCUGGCGGCAGGCUUAACACAUGCAAGUCGAACGCCCCGCAAGGGGAGUGGCAGACGGGUGAGUAACACGUGGGAACAUGCCCAAAGGUACGGAAUAUUCUCGGGAAACUGAGAGCAAUACCGUAUGUGCCCGAAAGGGGAAAGAUUUAUCGCCUUUGGAUUGGCCCGCGUCGGAUUAGCUAGUUGGUGGGGUAAAAGCCUACCAAGGCGACGAUCCGUAGCUGGUCUGAGAGGACGCCCAGCCACACCGGGACUGAGACACGGCCCAGACUCCUCCGGGACGCAGCAGUGGGGAAUCUUGGACCAUGGGCGCAAGCCUGAUCCGGCCAUGCCGCGUGGAUGAUGAGGGCCCUAGGGUUGUAAAGUCCUUUCGUUGGGGACGAUAAUGACGGUACCCAAAGAAGAAGCUCCGGCUAACUUCGCG